GACGAACGCUGGCGGCGUGCUUAACACAUGCAAGUCGAACGCUGAAGCACCAGCUUGCUGGUGUGGAUGAGUGGCGAACGGGCGAGUAAUACGUGAGUAACCUGCCCUUGACUCUGGGAUAAGCACGGGAAACUGGGUCUAAUACUGGCUGCUACAUGUCAUCGCAUGGUGGUCUGUGGAAAGCGUUUACUGGUCUUGGAUGGGCUCACGGCCUAUCAGCGUGUUGGUGAGGUAAUGGCGCGACAAGGCGACGACGCGUAACCGGCCUGAGAGGGUGACCGGCCACACUGGGACUGAGACACGGCCCAGACUCCUACGGGAGGCAGCCGUGCGGAAUAUUGCACAAUGGGCGAAAGCCUGAUGCAGCGACGCCGCGUGAGGGAUGACGGCCUUCGGGUUGUAAACCUCUUUCAGCAGGGAAGGAGCCACAAGUGACGGUACCUGCAGAAGAAGCGCCGGCUAACUACGUGCCAGCAGCCGCCGUAA
rnacentral:rRNA from 1 species